UACGUAGGGCGCGAGCGUUAAUCGGAAUUACUGGGCGUAAAGCGUGCGCAGGCGGUUCGCCAAGUCAGGUGUGAAAUCCCCGGGCUUAACCUGGGAAUUGCGCUUGAAACUAGCGGGCUUGAGUGUGGCAGAGGGGGGUGGAAUUCCACGUGUAGCAGUGAAAUGCGUAGAGAUGUGGAGGAACACCGAUGGCGAAGGCAGCCCCCUGGGUCACCACUGACGCUCAUGCACGAAAGCGUGGGGAGCAAACAGG
rnacentral:rRNA from 1 species